UACGGGGGGGGCUAGCGUUGUUCGGAAUUACUGGGCGUAAAGGGCUCGUAGGCGGCCAACUAAGUCGGACGUGAAAUCCCCAGGCUCAACCUGGGAACUGCGUCCGAUACUGGAUGGCUUGAAUCCGGGAGAGGGAUGCAGAAUUCCAGGUGUAGCGGUGAAAUGCGUAGAUAUCUGGAGGAAUACCGGUGGCGAAGGCGGCAUCCUGGACCGGCAUUGACGCUGAGGUGCGAAAGCGUGGGGAGCGAACAGG
rnacentral:rRNA from 1 species